rnacentral:tRNA from 1 species
GGGCGCGUGGCUCAGUCUGGCAGAGCACCUGCAUGACGCGCAGGGGGUCGGGGGUUCGAAUCCCUCCGCGCCCA